AUGCGCGUGACAAUUGCAUGCGAUAUAUCGCCCAGCCCUACAUUGAUCUAACUGGAAAUGUGAAUGAGUGCACUGAAAGUGGAGCUUUUGAAGUCGACGCGUCAGUCUGAAGUGAUGUCGUCGGAGACAGAGAAGAGAGACGGAGCGGAUCCCAGAGUGUUGAAGCACUACCCAAAGGAAAAGGACAGUGAUUCCCAAACCACAGAGUAAUUAAUGACUGUUGAUGAGUAUCAAGCACAACCUCAACAGAGACUCAGAAGAGGCUGAAAAAAAUGGAGGAAAACGAAAAAUUGAGAAAUGACGACAAAAAAAGCUACCAAAUCUGUUAAAUGAAGUGAAGAUGGCCCUGAAGUCUCUGUUUGUCAGCAUCAGUCACAUAACUUGGAAGAUGGGACAGGAUUUGCCACAGAGUAAUUACAGAGCCCUUCCAACACAACAGG